rnacentral:lncRNA from 1 species
CGUGUUUUAUAAAAAAUUAAACAGAGGUGAAUUAACUUUAUUCGACACAAAUACGGUAUAUACCCACGCAGUCAGGAAAUAAUAUUUAAAUUUUUCGAUAAAAUAGGUUAAAGAAAAAAUGAGUCGAAGAUAGAUUGAUUAAGUGGACGCAAAUUGCGAUAGAAAGUCCCCUAAAACGUUUUGCUAACCGGCAUCUGGAUAUAAUAAAUAACCGCACGCAUUUAUAAUUGCCCUAUACUCAACCAAUAGAUUUUGAAAAUGCGUAACGACGCGAUAAAACGUCACACUUUUAUCUCAGGUCAGUUUCAAUUGGUCUUGCGUCACUUGAUGGAUACCAGUUAUAAAUUCGGAGUUAGGUUAAAGAAAAUAAUAAAAAUUGAGAAAGAAAAAUUGUUUUUAUGGUAGAGAGGAAAACUUCUAUCUCCGGUUUUCAAGGUCGACCGCGUAAGAAAAUCGACCAAUGAUGUGUUUUUGGUGUAGGAAGGGGAGAAAAAACUUGACGUAACUAUACCUCACCUUAUUCUCAUAAAGGUUUGUUUAGCGAAAGGUACGCAAAGGUGAGUCAGUAUUAAGAACGUUUUCUAAUAUAAUUUUUCUACGCUAACGACAGUUAUCGCUCUUUAUCGAUCAUUUAUCUUUCUACUUAUGAACUACUGUAAUUAGAUAAAAAGCGUUUCUACGGUUAAUAUAAUAAUAAUAAUAGUUUAGCUAAAUAUGCAAAGGCGUAAGUACAGUGUAAAUUCUGAUACGUUACGGGUCAACGUGGAAAAAUGGUGUUAUUAAUUUUUAUAGGGUUUAAAAUUUAAACAACUUUCGUUUAAAGCAGGUAGCUGUCACAUGAUCAAAAGCACAUACUAUUAUUUCGCCACAGUAUUGUUCAUUAACUUCCUUUUAGAAAUAUUAAUUAUCUAUUGUAGAGUUGGCAGAUCAAUAAAAAUUUCCUCAUGACUUGAAUCGCGAUUUUAAAUACAACUAUAAGAUCAGCACUCAAAUGAUCAGAAUUUUUUUCUGUUUAAUUGUGAAAAUUCGACGACGGAACUGUAACACCAUAAUAAGCCAGAAGUAUAACAAAAGCCGUUUUUGAUAGCUGACAUCACAUAUUAGCUCAUAAGAUCGAAAUAAAAACAUUCUAGAAUAAUAAAAUAAGGAUUUCCGAUCAAAAUAAAAUAUAACUAAUGCAAACGACGUAAAACGUCUUCCUCAAAAUUGAUACAUUUUUAUGUUAACAGACAUUCCUAUUAAUAGCCCCCAUUUCUACUGAACUGUAACGAAUGAACUUGAAAGGAAAUGUUUAUUAAUGAUUUUAAAAUAUUUAAUUAAAAAACACGAAAGAAUUAAUUUUUAUUAAAUUGAUUGCAAAUGCGAAUUAAGAAAAUUUGCUCAAAAAUUAGUUGCUCUUAAAUAAAUUUUAAAGAGGUUCCCUCAGUAGGAGGAAAAGAUAAAGUUAAGUAGCUAACCCAAUAAUUGUCCUUUGCACGGUUCAAUAAGUAGUGCCAUGUUUAUAAACAGUGCAGUUGUUUCAUAACUGCAUUCUGUCGCCGGUCGCCAUGGCUGUUACAAUAGCUAGUAAUUACUUAACAGGUGAGUUGUUUCAAAAAACGUUGACUUUUUUAUAUAAAUCAAUUUUCUAUGAGAAAUUGCGCCAUUCCUUUAUGCUCUCUUUAAUAUUACAUCCGAAUUCAAGGAAGCUAAAUCUCUAUAAAACGCUGCCGGAUAUCUGUUUGUCGAUUUUUUAUGAUGUUUAUCGCAUAUUUUCUAAUGUCGAAAUCAAAACAGAUAAAACAGGAUAUGCAACGUAGAAUGAAAAAAGUUUGAAGUUUAUAGAAGUAAAUUUUCGAAUAUUUUUUAUUGGUGAAUUUUUCGCUAUCCUCGAAUAGUCGAUCUUCCAGGUUUUACAUUUAUUGAAAAUACUAGUUUCUCGACUAUCGAAAUAAGCAAUAAAUUGAAAAUAGAGCAGGAUGAAAAAUUUUGGCUGAUUUUCUAAUUGAAAUCCUUCCAAAUCGACGCCUUGUUUACUAUAAAAUAAAACCAGUCCUUCGUUAUUAUCGAGGUCAUGAGGUUAACUGUCCCUCGACCUAUUUGUCUCCUAAAGAAACGAAAAAAAUCACGUUGCAGAUGACUUGAUGAAUGUCGAGUUAGUUAUUAACAAUAACUAAUCUCGUAUAAUUGAAUCAAUGACGAAAACCUAAAUAAUCGGAACAAUAACGUGAUUAAUGAGUAAUAGUGUGUGACAAUGACCUCCAGUCAUUAGCCUUGAUGUUAAAAUUGUUUUCCUUUACAAAUCUCUAUUGUUUUUUAUUUAUAUUUUUUUAAAUAUUUAUUUUCUAGUAACUCUCCC